rnacentral:lncRNA from 10 species
GAAGGCUGGAAUGUCACAGAAUAAGGUGUGUCUAGGGAGGGGUGCUUUCUCUUUAGUGGAUAGCACCUUCUGGCUCUGUCCUCGCAUGGUGGAGAGGCAGAGGCCCUCGCUUGGGCCUAUUUUAUAAGGACCUUAAUCCCAUUCCUCACUUCCCAAGAUGCCACUUGCUAAAACCGUCAGUUCGGGAGUUAGGAUUUCAAAAUGUGCAUUUUGAGGGACACAUUUAGACCAUAGCGUAGGUCAUGUUUUUAAAGUUGCUUUCUUGGCCCUGGAAUGGCAAUGCAGUCAUCUGAAUUGGUCUUAACCUACCAGGAAUGGGCUUAUAUUUUGAAAAUAUUUCUCGAUAAGGGAGUAAAAUAAGUUGUAUGGGUUUUUUGUUUAAGAAAGGAUUCCUUUGUUUACUCUGGUAUGCUUAUCCACUUCUGUGAUGUCAACCAUGGGUAGUGACCUAACAUUAAUUUAAUUCAACAGAUAUCUUUGUCUGCCUUGAUUCCUGCAUCCCCUGGGCUCCACAGCUAUUCACUUGUAUUGAUUCUGUUAACUCUUACACAUUAACUUUGAGCUGUGUCUCCUUCCUUUUAUCAUUUUGUGAGUAAAGAAUUUUAAUUUGCCAACAAAUCCUAAUGUGGACUUUGUCACGUUGUGAAAUAAAGUGAUUUUUUGGUAUGGAAA